rnacentral:rRNA from 1 species
UGGGGAAUAUUGGACAAUGGGGGCAACCCUGAUCCAGCCAUGCCGCGUGAGUGAUGAAGGCCUUCGGGUUGUAAAGCUCUUUUGGCGGGGACGAUGAUGACGGUACCCGCAGAAUAAGCCCCGGCUAACUUCGUGCCAGCAGCCGCGGUAAGACGAAGGGGGCUAGCGUUGUUCGGAAUUACUGGGCGUAAAGCGAGUGUAGGCGGUUGCCGUAGUCAGGUGUGAAAGCCUUGAGCUCAACUCAAGAAAUGCACUUGAUACUGGGUGACUAGAGGACCGGAGAGGAUAGUGGAAUUCCCCAGUGUAGUGGUGAAAUACGUAGAGAUUGGGAAGAACACCAGUGGCGAAGGCGGCUAUCUGGACGGUUACUGACGCUAAGACUCGAAAGCGUGGGGAGCAAACAGGAUUAGAUACCCUGGUAGUCCACGCCGUAAACGAUGGGUGCUAGACGUUGGCGAGCUUGCUCGUCAGUGUCGCAGCUAACGCGUUAAGCACCCCGCCUGGGGAGUACGGCCGCAAGGUUG